rnacentral:rRNA from 1 species
CGGGCGGCAGCAGUGGGGAAUAUUGGACAAUGGGCGAAAGCCUGAUCCAGCCAUGCCGCGUGUGUGAAGAAGGCCUUUUGGUUGUAAAGCACUUUAAGCGAGGAGGAGGCUACCUGGAUUAAUACUCUAGGAUAGUGGACGUUACUCGCAGAAUAAGCACCGGCUAACUCUGUGCCAGCAGCCGCGGUAAUACAGAGGGUGCGAGCGUUAAUCGGAUUUACUGGGCGUAAAGCGUGCGUAGGCGGCUUUUUAAGUCGGAUGUGAAAUCCCUGAGCUUAACUUAGGAAUUGCAUUCGAUACUGGGAAGCUAGAGUAUGGGAGAGGAUGGUAGAAUUCCAGGUGUAGCGGUGAAAUGCGUAGAGAUCUGGAGGAAUACCGAUGGCGAAGGCAGCCAUCUGGCCUAAUACUGACGCUGAGGUACGAAAGCAUGGGGAGCAAACAGGAUUAGAUACCCCCGU